rnacentral:lncRNA from 1 species
UUUGGUUUUGCUAUUCGUGCGGGUGCAUAUGAGAUCGUGAUUAGAAGAGCACUUUCGAUUUUUUUUUGUAUUAUUAUUACUGUUGGUCUUUGUUGCAAAAUUACAGGCCCACACAGUUUAAGGAAAAAGGCCCAGAUGGGUCUUGGUCAAGGACGCCCAACCCCGACAAACAGGAACAGUCCUGACCCUCGCAGCAAAAGCCCGCACCACCCUCCUCCGCCGCCACCGCCACCGCCACCGCCACCGCCGGCAACCACCGGAUCCGGAGAAGAAAGAGGCAGCGCCCGGCCAAGCGAAGCGGGGGAGGAGAUGGUGGGCGCUCCGUCCUCGCCGGUGGUGAACGUGUACCCGCUCGCCAACUACACCUUCGGCACCAAGGAGGCCAAGAUGGAGAAGGACACCUCCGUCGCCGACCGCCUCGCCCGCAUGAAGGUCAAGUGAGUGCGCCUCCCCUCCCCCCCUGAUCCAGACAUGCCCAUAGUCUCCUGAUGUCUUGCUCUCGCCGGAAACCCUAAACCCUAGAGCUCACAUCGUUUGCGUGUUUUUUUUUUGUGGGUCGAAGGCCUCCCUCGUCAUCACCACUUUCUUGCUUAUUCUAGUCAAAAUUUGAGAAUGCCUUGUUUUGGCCCUUAAUUUGGGUGCUGUCGAAGUUGCGCUAUGACUGGUCAUGAAGCAUAGUGUUUUUUCGCAUCUGCCUUGCUUUAAGCGGAGAGUGUUGACUUUAAAGUAAUGCCCAGCAAUCUAGCUUAUGAGCUCGACCAUACACCCUUUAGCUUUAGGGCCGUCUUGCUUUGUGCCUGUACUGGAUGCGUGUUGCGAAGGGAACUAUAAUAACCAUCACUAAAACUUGCUGGAAGUUCUAGAUUUCGAGCAUGGUGCUUGGCAGGUCCCUUUCUUGUGAGGAGAUAACUGGUAACUUUGGAGCAUUAUGUAGCAAAUAGUUAUACAUGAUAAUUUGCUGGAACACUAGCCUGGAGCAUCAACAAACAGUCAUCAGUUAUCAUAUAGUUAAUAAAGGAAGCCCAUUUAUCAGCUUCUUCAAUCGAUUGCUUUUUUUUUUUAUGUAUGUGUGUUCUAUGUUGUGUCCUACGUAUCCCCUGAACACUUGGCUACUCUGCUAAAUAUGCUGUGUGACCUUAUUCUGUCGAAUGUACAUCAGUUAACCUACUAAUUACUUGUGCAAUGACAGCUACAUGAAAGAAGGAAUGCGAACAAGUGUUGAAGCAAUCCUAUUGGUAUGUUUCUAUACUUCCAGCUCAUGGUUAUUGUCAUUUACGUUCUUGUGCUUAAAACAUCCAGUGGCUGGCAAACUUUCUGCAGUUACAGUUGGCUAUGGUUGUAGUAAUUUGCCAAAUAAACUGAAAUAUUCACUUGGAUUGUCUUAUAUAGGUGCAAGAGCACAACCACCCCCACAUACUGUUGUUGCAAAUUGGAAAUACAUUUUGCAAACUUCCUGGUGGACGGUUGAAGCCUGGAGAAAGUGGUGAGUUUUUGGUUGCUCAAAUUUUCUGCUGUAUCAUAUGUUCCUUAACUGGUACCAUCAUGAAUCUUUGUCUGUUGUCUGGAAUCCUGCAGAAAUUGAGGGCCUGAAAAGGAAGCUCUGCAGCAAGCUUGCAGUUAACUCACCUUCCUUUCCGCCUAACUGGCAGGUAAUGAGCCAAGAACAGUUCGGUUUCCUUCUUGUUAAUGGUGAAUGAUCAUAUCUCAUUACUUAAUUGUAUGGGCCUUUAAGUUGUAUCUGAUCACUUUGUGCGUUGCUGGAUCAUAGUUAACCCAGUAGUACUGAAGGUUAUCUGCAUCUUGAAGAAAGAAAAACUGAACUGCCAUCUCAACGUUCCCUAACCUGUCUACUUAACACGGUUGUUAUAGUGAUUUAUAGCUUAACUGAUGCAGCGAGAACAUUACAUGGCUCCUUAUGUGCUACAUAUUGUGGCUGCACCUAAAUUGGAACAGUGCCAUGUGUGUUAAUUGCAGAAAAUCAUGAUCACAGUUUCCAAUAUUCAAAACAUGAAAUGCCUACCGUCAUACUAGUGUGCCAAUCUAAAAAGCACGGAUACGGGGAGUCGGGGACGGAAAGACGGGGAUAUGCAUACGGGGAUACGGGAUACGGCAUUUUCCAAAAACAGCUAUUCGGGGAUACGGCGAGUACAUAUAAAAUUAAAUAAAAGUAUGCCAUGUAAUAUAGAGUUAAGACAGGAAUUUAAAGAGAAAGAGAUUAGAAUAGAGAAAGAAUAGAAUACUGCCCCAGUUUGUGUCUCUUUUAUCAAGUUCUUGAUUGAUCCUCGUGCCCCCAUGUCAUUGCAAGCCGCAUCUUGCAAAACACAUCAAACACAAACAGUAAAGAAGAUUAGAAAUUUAGAAGAGUAGACGAUAUAUUCUGUCCCACAAUAUGAACACAUGAAAACAGUAGAGAUGUUUGCUUUGCUUACCCAAUUUGCAAUGCCAUUUGGCUCCCAAUUGCAGAAUGGUUUGGCAAUCUCAACACCAUAUUAUAAAUACAAACCGUGACAAAUUGAUAAGGUCACAUAGUCCACUAAGAACAUGAUAAAUAUGGGCAUAAGAAGGCUCAGAUGGUCACAUAGUUUCAAACACAAACAGUUCAAAUGGCAAAUAGGUAGUUCAUAAGUAGAUUGCAUAACAACUAGAAACAUAAAUGGAGAGAACGACUGAUUGUCUCAUUCUCUCAUGGCUGAAAGAGUGAAUGGCAGUAGACUCAAGUAAGAGAAUCAAUGAUUUCCUCCUCCAAUUCUGGUUCAUCAAGUGAAAGAUCUGCAGAUUCAAGCAUGCCAACACCAGCAGAAGUCUUAACUCCAUCUCCCCCAACAUCCCACAUUCAGUUUAGCCCAGUUAGAUAUGCUUGAGAAUUCCUUGAAAGAAGGCGAUGGUUGUUGUGUGUGUACACCAAAUCAGAAACUCGAGCAGGUGUUAGCAUGUUUCUUGCAGCACUAUGGAUGAAACCAUAUGUGCUCCAAUUCCUUUCACAGCAAGAGGAAGAUGCAGGCUGCACAAGUACCUUCAAUGCUACAUUUUUUAAUAGCUUUGUGCUGACUCCAUGAAGUGCCCCACCAUUGUUUAGGUUCAAAAUCCGCUCUAUCUUCAAUAGAAUCUGGAUUUUCGAAGGCAUUCAUGAAAAGAGUAUAACCAGCAAAUUCCUUCUUGAUGGUUUUGAAAUCCUCUUGAUCUGGAUAGAACUUCCGAAAGCACUUGUUUCUCAUUUCUGUAACUUCAUGGUCAUCAUUGGGGCUGAUACGGCCAGGGACUUCAUUAAUCCAAGCUGGAUUAUAGUAUCUACUCCUUCCGUCCCAAAAUAAGNGACUCAACUUUGUACUAACUUUAUACAAAGUUUGUACGAAGUUGAGUCACUUAUUUCGGGACGGAGGAAGUAUUAUAUAAAUCAGCAAGCAUGUACGAAGUUGAGUCACUUAUUUCGGGAUGGAGUAUGAAACAACAUCUAUGAUCUAGGUAUCACUUCAGAAGUUCAGAAUUCAAAUUAUACCUUGGGUUUAGUGAGUGAGCCAGACAAUGUAAAGGGGUAUUGCUCUUGGUCCAACGGGAAACAAGGAUCUCUUUAAUAAUGUCAUACGAGAUGCACUCUUCACCUUGCUCCUUUUCUUCAAACUGAUAGAUAGGUAUUUUGACCUAUGAACAAAAGAACAAACCAAAUCAGCAUGCUCCACAAAUGAAAACAGCAUGUUAAUGAAUUGAGAGAUGCUUGAAGGCUUGAAGCAACUAAUCAUUUACCUUCUCUAUCAUGGAAUCCCACAUUUCAUAGAUCAAAUGGAGACAUGGCUUGUCCGUGUCAGCCAACCUUAUCAUUGCAUAAAUAGGCUCGGUGAAAGAAACAAUGUAUUCAAUUCUGUCCCACCAAAUAUCAUUGAGAACAAGCUUCUUCACACUUUGAGCUUUANNNNNNNNNNNNNNNNNNNNNNNNNNNNNNNNNNNNNNNNNNNNNNNNNNNNNNNNNNNNNNNNNNNNNNNNNNNNNNNNNNNNNNNNNNNNNNNNNNNNUGUAUACCCCAGCACAACAAGGCCUCUGAUGAUGUCCAAUGACCACAACAAAUUCGAGCAUCCAAAUCGGCUUCAUCUUUCACCUUCAAACUUUACAAAUCAUCCUUGUGAAGGUUUCGCGGUUCCUCCUAUCCUGUUUGAUAAGAAACGCACUGGGCCUCGACGUAAGCUUAGUUCUUUGCAUUUGUUUUUCUACUUACCAUCGCAAAACAUUUUGUCCCAAUCAUGUACCUUGUCGUCUGACCUCUUCUCACCCUCCCUGUAGCAUGCCCUGUUUGCUAUGUGUCGGUAGAUCAGGCAUUUGCUCUGAUGCCUCUACAAGCUUCUCCAUCUCCUGUCCUUGAAAACUUAAAAUACGCCUUGGAAGACAGCGUCACUGCAAAUUUCUCAAAUCCGGGCUCUGCAUUUGGAGGGCAUCUAUCUCUGGAGCAGAGAAAUAAAUCUUUUGACAUUACCGAUUCGAUGACUGUCCACUGUGGGUAUGUUACAUGCAUCUGUUGUUCCAGAAUUCCAGAUUAAGUCCUUAGCUUAUCCAAAAGAUUAGUCUUUGAAAUGUGAAUAUCGAUCGACAUUGUUUGUGCUGUUUUAUCAGAUUUGUUAGAGGAAAGAAACCUGGCCAAGGUACCGGAUUUGACAUCAGUGAUGAUGAUCUGCUAGAAAUGGAGCAAUGCCGUGAGCUUGUUGUAGCUUCCGCCAUUUUCGGUAACUAGCACUGUUGACUAAUAGUUGUAAUCUUUAUUGCACUCAAUUAGCUGCUCACAAUUUGAUACCGUUGUCCAGGGAAUUAUGAUAUGAUUCAACAUCCAAGGAAUGUCAGUGAACUGUCAAAGGCAAAUGCGUGUUUUUAUAUGUUUGUAGAUGAAGAAACAAUGGCUUAUGUCAAGAAUUCCAGCUCACUGUACAAAGAUAAUAAAGUUGGCUUAUGGAGGCUAGUGGUUGUCCGAAACCUCCCUUAUGAAGAUCCAAGGCGCACGGGGAAGGUGCCUUUCUUAUGAACAGUAACCUUUCCCACUUACUUUCUUAUGAACAGUAUGAACACAUCAUGUGCAAUCCAUGAUAAAUCAAAUACUUAAGUCAAGUAUUAACUCCCUAAAUAAAUGAAGUUAAGUCUGUGAGGUGAUAGUAUUUAUGGCAAGCUUGUUGUGGGGCUACUGUGCAAAACAUGCUCUUGAGCUAUCUGUCUUCAGUUGGCUUAUAUUUUAACCAGUUUACAAGAAAUUCAUAAUCUGAUAAAUUACUGAUUUGCCUUUGCCUGGCUCUUUAAACCUUACCCCGUUUCAGUUUUGGGACCAUUUUAUAGCCUAUAAGCUUGGUCGUUGAGACCACUUGUCAUCAUGCAAGAGCUUGUACGUUUAUGUCCAAAUGUCUAAAUGAGUAUUCUUCUAGGAGGUUUUAGGUCCAACGUUUUAAGUAGUUCAAUUGAAGAAAUUAAUGUCUUACGACAAGGUUAUCUGUAUCUAUACGUUGUUAUGAGCAUGUUGAAUGACCAAAUACUUUAUUGGUGCAGAUUCCCAAGCUUCUGCUCCAUAGGCUAUUUCCAAAUGUAAGAUUUUCAGUUUGGAUAGACGCAAAGCUUCAGCUUGUUGUGGAUCCUUAUUUACUGCUUGAGAGGUAUGCUUGAUGUAAUAAAGAGCUUGGUUUAUUAUGUGUUAUUAUUUCUUGGUGAGUCUGUUCUUAAGGAGAAAGCUUGUUGUGGAUCCUUAUUUUGCUGCUUGAGAGGUUUACUUGAUGUAAAGAGCUUGAUUUAUUAUAUGUUAUUUCUUGGUGGUCUUUUGUAAAGGAGAAAAUUCUGCCAAAUAGCUUUUUUUAACUAAAAAUCUGCCAAAUAGUUAGUCUUGUGUCAAACGUGGGCCUGGCAUAUUUAAAUCAGUGGGGUUAGAGAAUGACCCGAUUUAUCCUCAUUGUAGUAUGGAAAUUUCAUACAUCCAACUGUUAUCUUGCGUAUCUUUUGUCCCGGUUGGGCCUGACUGUUUAUUCUACUAAUCAGGUUUCUGUGGAGAAAGGAUUCUAGUUUUGCGAUAUCUCGGCACUACAGACGUUUUGAUGUGUACGAAGAAGCAGAAGCUAAUAAAGCUGCUGGAAAGUAUGACAAUGCAUCAAUCGAUGAACAGAUAGAUUUUUACAGAAAUGAGGGCCUAACACAUUAUUCUCCCGCCAAGCUUCCUAUCACAAGUGGUCAGUGAACUCAUCAUCGGAGUCUAGCGCAUGAUUCAUGAGCUGUUGGGUUUCAUUCCCAGACAUCAACCUUUUCCCUCUUGCAUUGUGUGCAGACGUCCCGGAAGGCUGUGUGAUCAUCAGAGAACACGUCCCCAUCUCGAACCUCUUCACAUGUCUUUGGUUCAAUGAAGUUGACCGUUUCACCGCCAGGGAUCAAAUCAGCUUCAGCACCGUCCGGGACAAAAUAAGGUCUAAAGUCGGCUGGAUGCCCCAGAUGUUCCUGGACUGCGAGAGGCGCAACUUUGUUGUCCAGGUACUACAUCCCAACCACCGAGCAACUUGGCCUAUGCUAUAUUUUUUUCCCUACAGGCAGGCACAGCACACGGCCCACUUGUUAAGCUUACGGACAUCUCUUUUGCCGUUGACAUUUGGCCAGGCAUACCACAGGGAGCUGCUAGAGCAGAUGAUCGCGUCCGGCAGGAACACGCCUCCGACCGCCGUCGAGCCAUCGCGGAAAAUCAGGCCGGGUGGCAGCAGGAGAGCUCCCCCGUCGAAGAAGCCUGUCGUGAAGCGGAAAAAGGAGAAGAAAUCGAGCUCGCGGAGGCGGGUCCCGAAGCCGGUUACGUGGGCCAUGGAUGCUGUGUGACUGACGGAGGUUCACAGGGAUGGACGGACUCCUGUCACUCUAUCGAUAGUUGGGCGUGGUCGUGUCGCAGCUGGUGCCGCUAGGGGAGGGAGGGAAAGAAAGGGGGAAUGGAGGAUUGUAAUUUUUUGCCGGCCACGAAAUAGAAUUUGUUCAUAGUCAAUUCUUGAUUGUUGUUGUAAAUAACAGCGGAAAGCAGUAUCAUUCAAUUGAGCCCGGCCCUUUUUUCUGUUUCUGAUUGGAAAGCCAAGAAACAAAAUGCGCGCACUGUACAAUCUUUCUGUGCAGUGGUAAAAAAAUGUAAAAUUAUGGUAUGCGCCCACCGUGGGGCUCGAACCCACGACCACAAGGUUAAGAGCCUUGCGCUCUACCAACUGAGCUAGACGGGCUUGGUGCUGCUUCACUGAGCCAGCAGGUUGUGCAAUGACAACAGCUACAUUCACCAUUUCCAUGUCAAAUAACUUAGGAGUUGAUCACCCCAAAAAACUACUCCCUUAAAUUAGUUGUCACAGAUUUAGUGUAGUAUUUUAUACCAGGAUUUUUCUAUUGAAACAAUCUCAUCACACCCUUGCAGUCAUCCGUGUACCACUCGAGUUACUACGUACUUAGGACGAGUUCAAUGNNNNNNNNNNNNNNNNNNNNNNNNNNNNNNNNNNNNNNNNNNNNNNNNNNNNNNNNNNNNNNNNNNNNNNNNNNNNNNNNNNNNNNNNNNNNNNNNNNNNCGCUCCCCCCUCCGCCCCCGCCGCCGCCGCGGCCGAGCCGGCGCUCGACCGCCUCCUCCUCGCCAGCUCCGACCUCGCCGGCCUCGUCUCCCAGGUCGACCCCUUCCCCUCCACCAUUCGCUCCAAACCCUCGCACUCCCCCUUUUUUUUUCUUCUUCUCCCAGGUUAGCGUAGCGAUGUGAAGCGCUGUGUGAAUGUGAUUCGUUCGACCUGAGGCGGUGCCAUGGAUCCAUCCGAUCCGAUCCGAUGCUAUUCUGGAUGGGGUUGGGUGGGAUCCGUUGCUCGGGGUAUCCUGCUAGGAUCUCGUAUUCCUCGAUGAUACUGUACCGGCCGACCUCCGUGGCGAUUUGGGGGCAGCGGAUUUGAUUCAUGCGAGCUGUAAUUUUAGUCACUUGCUCUGGCCCUGGAAUUGAUUAGUAACUUGCCGAUUCCUUUUUAUGCGGAUUAAAACGUUAGUCGCUUGUUUGUCCUCGGAACUGAUUAGUUACUCGCUGAUUCCUCUGUCGGUCAUGUUGUACAUAGAUCUUUGCUGUUGGACUUUGGCUUGCCAAUCUGCCGAUUCUUACAAUGUUCUCCUGUUUUUACUCCUUGGAUCAGAUUGACAAAUUGGUCUCCAGUGCCCUCCAAUGCGAGACUAUAUCGACAAGAGGGGAACAAGAGAUAGAAUCCUUCAGUUGCUUCUUAUCGGAAACUAAUUCUUCUUUGAAGGUGGGCAUUGUCAUCAAAUCUUUCAUUUUUUUCUGAACCAAAUAGACCUUACCAUGAGCCCUUUAUGUUUCAGCUCUAAUUAUCACUGCUUUUGUUCUUAUGCAGCAAUGGUCUUCCAGACUUAAGCUAGCGCUUAAAGCUUCUCCGGCCAAAAGUGAAAAUGCCUCCAAGCACACCAUGGAAACCUGUUCAAAAUCUGCUGCAAAAGGGAGUGACAAGUUGUUUCCUAGCAACAGCAUCUUACCUCCAGCAGGCCCGGCAGUACCGCCUUCACAAGAAUUGGUCUGCAGCAGCAGCAACAACUUACCAGAGAUCGAUCUGAUUGUCUCGCCUUCACCUCUUGUUUCAUGGCGUACUGGGGCAUGUAUGGUCGACAGUGGGAAGCAGUUAUUUCUCUUGACACCACUGCCAAAAUCAAAAGCACGCUCAUCCAUGUGCCCAACUUCAUCAAAAGCACAGUUGAAGACAACUGCCAGCAUGGAUGAGCUGAAUCUUCCCAAUUUACCUGUUUGGAAACUAACCAUUUCUGAUGACAACCGCCCUGAUCUGGAGCAAAGUGUGAAAGGAAUGGAAGCAAGGGCUGGUGUCUCAACACCUCAUCCUAGAAAAGCAAAGAAAAGCUCAUCAGAGGACAAUCUGUUUUCACCUCUUAGCUUCUCAAUUCAGAAGAGCAGGAGAGCACCACUGCCUACUCCUUGCCCGAAGACAGCAUUGCGAGGUAAGCAACAUGUGUUCUCUCCGAUAUCAGAGGGCUCAAGUAAGGAUGGCAUUAUCAGUGCUGGAGCAGCUGAGAGUGAAAAACCACCAUCUGGAACCUCUGAUGAGAUGCUGUCUGAUGGGAAGGAUCUGGCAUCAAGGUAUCCAGACAUGUAUGGGUUUAAUCAACCUGCCGGAGACAGGCGCCGAAUGGAAGAAGCUGAUGUGGCUCUUGAUUGGUUCCUGUCACCCCUCAAGACCUGCGUGCUAAUGGAUCCAAGUCCAACAGAUGAUAAGCCUGUUCCCCUUCCAGCAAAGGAUAACAAAUCCGUGAUAGAAAGUCCUUGGGAAGGCUGGGAAAGAAAUAAUAAGCUGGAGGGAAGACGGAAACUUUCAGAUUGCAAUCCUAUCCAAACUCUAUCAGUGCAUAGCAAGGCCUUGGUUGGUACUCCUCGGAAAGGCCUGGAAAGCAAGAAUGACCUGAAGGGAAAGCAGGAACUUUCAGAAGACAAACUCAUCCAGACCCCAGCAGUGCGCAGCAGGGCCUUGCUUGGCACUCCCUGGAAGGGCCUGGAAAGCACCAACCUGAAGGGAAGGCAUGCCGGCGAAACAACUCUCAAGAAGGAGCUCUGGACAAGAUUCGAGGCGGUCUCGACCAACGAGCUGCACCUCGACAGGUCAGUCUUCCAGAAGCCAGAUGGAAGGAGAUUCAUCGACAUGCUCGAGGAGGCUGAAUGAUUCAGUCUAGCAGCAGGAGGGCACUUGUUAUUUUCUGGCGCAGUAGCUGUGGGAUUGGGGAGUGAAACCCAUCCCUACGGUCUAUCAUGGCACAUCAUCAUGUAUGAGUGCCCGGAGCCAAAACUGCAGUGAUCUAGCACACUAUAUGCAUUUUUGCACUGAUUAUCUUGUGCAUUUUUUCGAUGCCAAACUGCGUACUCCUGCCAGAACUGUUGUGUAGACAUGGACAGCGUUGAACUGUCGAUUCAUCCCAGUCACAUAGGGGGUUGUUUGAUACAAGGAACUCGGGUGCUUUUGUGGGUGAAUUGUUUAUGUGCUUUAUGUCAUUUCGAGAUGUGCUACAAAGAAUGUAAGCAUGUUUAAUACUCCCUUUGUCUCAUAAUAUAAGACGUUUUUUUGACAUUGUUGUGUCAGAAAACGUCUUAUAUUAUGAGAUAGUGCCAAAAAACAACUUAUAUUAUGAGACAGAGGGAGUAUACGGUUAAUCUGACUAAAUGCCUGUCUAGCUCAGUUGGAAGAGCUCUUGCUUUGAUAUUUUGAGGCAAAAGCUGGGAAAAUAACUGAUGCUGUACAGUGUAGCACGUUGGUAAACUGCCAAUGUCCGACACAGGUGGCCUUCGUGUGCUAUACUGGUGUAGCCGUGAAGUAGGUCGAAAUGCAAGCCUUGUUUACAAGGACAGACUUAAUUCUAAAAAACCUAUGCAAGUUCAAAUAGAUAUGAGUACUAUUUAUACCGUUGAUGUAGGCGCUUCAGUACUACUCCUUCCGUUUCGAAAUAUUUGAAGCUCUAAGUUUGUCCUAACUCAAACUUAUUUCGGUUUGAGCAAGUCUGUAGAAAUAUAAACCAAUAUUUAACACCAAAUUAACUCCAUUAGGUUCAUCGUAAUGUAUGUUUUCAUACCAUAUAGUACAUUUGAUGAUGUGGAUGUUAUUAAUUAUUUAUACAAACUUGGUCAAACUUAAGAAAGUUUGACUUAGGACAAAUCCAGAAGUUCAAAUAGGGUGUGUUUGGAUAUUUACAACCAAACUGCCACCGCCCAAGAAAAAUGUCCGGGCCGGAAGAAAAUGUUUCAUUCUCCAGCCUCACAUAUCGCUACGAUGCUCACCUACCUCUGCGAAGCUGAAUCCAGAGAGUUUUUUUUGCAGGGAAUUAAAAGAUUUAUUUAUAUAAAGGCAUUCGCUGCGCAGUCAGCUAAAAGGAUGCUGAUCAAGAAACUCGGUGUCUCCGUAAGCCAGCUUUCGGUGACAGUCACCUCACAAGCACGCUUGACGCAGAGGUGAGCUGGUCCAUUGGCUGAUCUACUUCAUUGAACUCGNNNNNNNNNNNNNNNNNNNNNNNNNNNNNNNNNNNNNNNNNNNNNNNNNNNNNNNNNNNNNNNNNNNNNNNNNNNNNNNNNNNNNNNNNNNNNNNNNNNNCCCACGGCGUCGUGCUGCAGCAAGAUGAGGGAGCAGAGGCCGUGCAUGUGCCAGUACGCGCGCGACCCCAACCUGAAGCAGUACGUCAACUCCCCCAACGGCAAGAAGGUCCUGGCUGCCUGCAAGGUGCCCGUGCCAUCCUGUUAAAUCGACGUAUAUGGUCAGAGAUGAGAGAGCAGAGCUGCAUGUGUUCAUGUGUGAGUGUGUUUGGUUGCCGUGUGUAGCUACCCCGAUGUAUCUGUAUCUGAAAUUCUGAAUAAAUACAGUAACAAUGAUGUGUGUUGUUUUUCCCUGUAAAAAAAAGUGUGUUGUUGGUUUAAGGUGUCAUCGUGCGUUAUGUGACCGACUUCGAUUGUACUCUGCUCAAAAAAAGUCUCAUCUUGCGUUAUGUUCGGAUGGUGCUAGUGUGAGCACCACUAGAUAAGAGAUGGGCGUUGACUGGAGAAAUAACUGUUCGUUCAAAAGGCCGGCCAUCAUAUAUGGCAUAUGUUUUUCUCAAACAGGCAUGUAAGAGGUGGGCGUUGUAAUUCAUGUUUUUUUCUAAAAAAAGGAUAAGCCCGGCCUCUACAUCAUUAAAAUGCAUAUAACUAUAUUUAUUAAAACAUAAGUAUCAUCAUUCCAUACACUCAAACCAACAAAAGUAGAUACAGUGACAACUGAGUGAAAAAUUGAAAAAAUAUGUAUACAGUUUAACCUCAAUUUGACCAUGUAUUUUAGGAUUCCUAUAUAUUUUUCUAUUCCCACGAAUCAAACAAGCACUUGUUAACAUUCUUGUGUUAACACAAUCAUAUGUUUUGCUCAUUCUUGUGCUUUCAUAAUCAUCUGUUUGCGCAUGUCAGUCUGCAACGAUGGACUAAUGAUGGACCAUCUAGAAGCAAGCGGCGUCAGAAUUUAGACAAUGAGGUGAAUUUAUCUUCUGGUCUCAACUUUCUCUUAUGUUUGCUCUGGUGCUUGGUUAUGGAGAUAUGGACAUACUAUGUUGUGCUCCAGACAUGGAGCCAGUGAUGUAAUGCUUGUGUUUGCUAUGGGACCAUCUUAUAAUUCUCAUGUGGAUAUGAUAGUUGGUAAUUGGUUAUUUGAUUACUAGUAUUCCAUAUUGAAUGUGUUGAGUUUUACUUGAUGCUCUUAAAUGUUCUUAGUACGAAGAACACCUUACUGUUGUUGCAGUCCAAUAUCUUGCAAGCGAAAAAAAACCUCGCUCUCGCGACCGCGUCGCCCGNNNNNNNNNNNNNNNNNNNNNNNNNNNNNNNNNNNNNNNNNNNNNNNNNNNNNNNNNNNNNNNNNNNNNNNNNNNNNNNNNNNNNNNNNNNNNNNNNNNNUCGGUGGAAGAGGGCAGGGGCGCCCCCGUGGAGCGAUUCUACCCGUAGAUUUGGCCGGAAUCGCGAGCGGAACCAAUGGCGGGCGGGCGGCGGAAGGAGGUGGGGAAAGGGCAUGGGCUGAAAUGUCCCUCCCGCCAACCGCUUUUCUAGGAUACGGGGCACCAUAGGGAUGAGGCGGAAACCUAUGUUUUCGUGGGUCGGCGGUGGGAUUUUGUCGCGUCUCUCAAAAAAAUUUACGGGUCCAACGCGUUUGCGGGGUCUGACCGGGCAACAUUUUUCGCGCCGACCCGUAUUUUAACGGUUAUUUUGCAGAUCGUAGCGUUAUACGGGUCUGCUAGAGAUGCUCUUAGAGUUGUUUGAACCGUCCGGUUCUGUUAUUUAAACUUUGGUGCUAAGACACUUUUUUUCAUUCUUGUGUUUGAUGUCUCGUUAUCUAGCGGAACCCGGUUCAAUAUGGAUAGAAUGGGGAAAAGCCAUCAUCCUGCUUACUCGCACAUGUUUUUUUUAACACAAUAUAGACAUAGACAUACUCAUACAUUGAUAUAUAUGCACAUGCAUUCAUUCAUAUAAACGCAUGCAUGCACUAUGCACCUUAAUAGAAUGACUCGGUAUAUUUUUUUGAGAUUGACGAAGUCGCUAUAGGCGCAUUCGUCGAAGGGAACAUUUCCCCACAGAACGCACAUUGUGAAAAGCUUAAAAUAAAUUGAAAGAAAUGUGAGCAUCAGUUUCAAAUAUAGAACUUAAACUGUGAUGGGCCGAAGAUACCACUUGCCUACUGACCAUCACUGAUCAUCUGACCACAAAUUAGUUCGCUUACAUAUUUUUUUUGUUCACUUGCACAUGCAAGCAUGGAAAGUACCAAUGCAAAAUACUUUCUCCGUUCCUAAGUAUAAGACCUUUUAGAGAUUNNNNNNNNNNNNNNNNNNNNNNNNNNNNNNNNNNNNNNNNNAGUAUAGAUUCAUUCAUUUUAUUCCGUGUGUAGUCUCGUAACGGAAUCUUUAAAAGGUCUUAUAUUUUGGAACGGAGGGAGUACAUUUGUAUUCCAUGUUUUGUCAUACUUUAUUUUGCGAGUGAGCACGCGCGAGUUGAGCUAGCUACGAUCUCAGAUCUCCAUCUUGCCCCGUCGGCCGUAUGGGUAUCGUGCUGUGCUGUUGUACUGUACAUAGCCUCCCCAUUUAACGAACGAAAUCAAUGGGUCGUUAGUGUCACACACAUCAUCACGUACGAUGGGAUGGUGCUUAAUUAAGAGCACUUGUAAUACGUAUAAGUGGUACGUAUACGCCGUAUAGUCCUCGCGUACGUACUACCACGUCGGACGCCACGCUCGGUGCAUGCAUGCAUGCAUGGUCUGUGCUGUACGUACGUGUGCAUGCAACGUCGCCACCUGCAUAUAUAUAUGGAUCCCUCUUCAAUUUCCUUUAGCAAAUAAGGCUGUGUGUAAAGGGAGUAUCAUAGAUAGUAUCAUAUAUGUCAACUAAUCAAUUUCGGUAAGCUGCAUAAAAUUAAAUAAGAAAAAAAAGGUUGAGUAUCAUAUUAUGAUACCGUAUCAUAUUAUGAUACCGUAUCAUAUUAAAUGAUGUGCUACUAUAUGUCUUGCAUGACAAUAAAUAAAUUAUCAUAUGAUAGUAACAUAUGAUAUUAUGCAUUAGGAACGUGGUAUCAUACACUAUCCAUUACAACCAGGCUAAUAAUACGAUCCGUGCACGUGCUGUCCUGGCAAGCCUCGUGGGCCCACGGUAUCUCUACGAGCUAUCCUGUCCCGAACGGACGGCGAGAUCUCCUCCACUCCACGACCACCAGCAAAGCCGGGCGGGCGCCAUGUCAUGUCACCCCGGCCGCCACCGGGUCAGGGGAUCAGGAUAGGCCUAUCCGGAGCCGGCCGCGUGGCGCCCUCCCUAUGGGCCUCGCUCAUCUCCGCCCCGCGCCACGCAAACCUCAUCGACGGCCAAGCGUUUCAAAUCCUUAACAGCAUCCGCCGGCCGAUCCCCGCAGCUCCAGAAGCAGAAGCAGGACACUCCUCCCACCGCACAGCUCGACCGCAAUGGCGUCGCUCGUCGCCGUCCAGCCGGCCGCCGUAAAGGGCCUCUCCGGCAGCUCCAUCUCCGGCCGCAAGCUCGCCGUCCGGCCCUCCUCCGCCGCCGCCUCCCGCUCCACCCGCAGGUAUACGAACUUACACACACACGGCUUAGUAAACGCAUGACACGCCACGCACACCACCGAGAGAGCAACGGAGCGUGAUUCACUCAAGCUCCGUCGCACGCCAUGGACGCAUGCAGGGCUCGCGGGGCGGCGGUGGUGGCCAAGUACGGGGAGAAGAGCGUGUACUUCGACCUGGACGACAUCGCCAACACGACGGGGCAGUGGGACCUGUACGGCAGCGACGCGGCGUCGCCCUACAACGGCCUGCAGAGCAAGUUCUUCAACACCUUCGCCGCGCCCUUCACCAAGCGCGGCCUGCUGCUCAAGUUCCUGCUCAUCGGCGGCGGCUCCCUGGUCGCCUACGUCAGCGCAUCCGCCUCCCCCGACCUGCUCCCCAUCAAGAAGGGGCCCCAGCUGCCGCCCACCCCGGGACCACGCGGCAAGAUCUAAAUCUAAUCCUCGCCUCGCCUCGCCUCGUGCUUGUGUACCAUGGAUCCCGUCUGAUCUCAUGGAUCGGAAUCGGAUCCCCCGUAUCCAUGUCUUUCUGUUGAUACUUGAUGCUGUACCUUGUUGCCUACGUGAUGCACACAAUUACUGCUAGAUCAUUUGCUCUUUAAUC